rnacentral:rRNA from 1 species
CCAGACUCCUACGGGAGGCAGCCGUGGGGACUCUUGCACAAUGGGGGACCCCCUGAUGCAGCGACGCCGCGUGCGUGACGAAGUAUUUCGGUAUGUAAAGCUCUGUCAGCAGGGAAGACAGAAAUGACGGUACCUGACCAAGAAGCCCCGGCUAACUACGUGCCAGCAGCCGCGGUAAUACGUAGGGGGCAAGCGUUAGCCGGAUUUACUGGGGGGAAAGGGAGCGGAGACGGCAUAGCAAGGCUGAAGUGAAAGCCCAAGGCGCAACCAGGGGACGGCGGGGGAAACGGUGAAGCUAGAGGGCGGGAGAGGGAAGCGGAAGGCCUAGGGGAGCGGUGAAAGGCGGAGAUAUGAGGAAGAACACCAGGGGCGAAGGCGGCGUACGGGACAGUAACUGACGGUGAGGCGCGAAAGCGGGGGGAGCAGACAGGAGUAGAGACCCCAGUA